rnacentral:rRNA from 1 species
GACGAACCGUGCGAACGUUGUUCGGAAUCACUGGGCUUAAAGGGCGCGUAGGCGGGUGGCCAAGUCAGAGGUGAAAUCCCACGGCUCAACCGUGGAAGUGCCCCUGAAACUGGUCAUCUCGAGGGAGGUAGGGGCGUGCGGAACUUCCGGUGGAGCGGUGAAAUGCGUAGAUAUCGGAAGGAACGCCGGUGGCGAAAGCGGCGCGCUGGACCUCUUCUGACGCUGAGGCGCGAAAGCCAGGGGAGCAAACGGG